rnacentral:rRNA from 1 species
UACGUAGGGGCCGAGCGUUGUCCGGAAUCAUUGGGCGUAAAGAGCGUGUAGGCGGCUUGCUAAGUCUUGCGUGAAAUCUCGGGGCUCAACCCCGAGCGGUCGUGGGAAACUGGCAGGCUAGAGUGCGGGAGAGGAGAAUGGAAUUCCUGGUGUAGCGGUGAAAUGCGCAGAUAUCAGGAAGAACACCCGUGGCGAAGGCGGUUCUCUGGAACGCAACUGACGCUGAGACGGCGAAAGCGUGGGGAGCGAACCGG